UGGCUAUAACAAAUUAUUGGGAGAAAUUAUCUGUCUGGUUGUUGUUCUCGGAAUUUCUCUAAUUCUUUGUUCGUCGACAUACUUGCUCAUUUAAUUUCUCACAGUU